rnacentral:rRNA from 1 species
UACGUAGGGUGCAAGCGUUGUUCGGAAUCAUUGGGCGUAAAGCGCGUGUAGGCUGUUAAUUAAGUCGGGUGUGAAAUCCCUGGGCUCAACCGAGGAAGUGCAUCCGAAACUAAUUAGCUAGAGAAUGGUAGAGGAAGGUGGAAUUCCUAGUGUAGAGGUGAAAUUCGUAGAUAUUAGGAGGAAUACCGGUGGCGAAGGCGGCCUUCUGGACCAUUUCUGACGCUGAGACGCGAAAGCGUGGGGAGCGAACAGG